rnacentral:rRNA from 1 species
UACGUAGGGCGCAAGCGUUGUCCGGAAUUAUUGGGCGUAAAGAGCUCGUAGGCGGCUUGUCACGUCGGAUGUGAAAGCCCGAGGCUUAACCUCGGGUCUGCAUUCGAUACGGGCUAGCUAGAGUGUGGUAGGGGAGAUCGGAAUUCCUGGUGUAGCGGUGAAAUGCGCAGAUAUCAGGAAGAACACCCGUGGCGAAGGCGGCUCUCUGGGACGGUACUGACGCUGAGACGCGAAAGCGUGGGGAGCAAACAGG